GUCUGUUUGUAGUGGUAAGUAGAUUUCUCCUGCAGUUAGGUAGACUUCUUCAACAUUUGUUUUCCUGAUUUGAAGGAUAAUUUCAAGGCAUAACUGUCCAUAGUCAGGUGGAAAGGAUUUUUUUAACAUAGUAUUAACUCGUUAAUAAACCAAAAAUUCUCAAAUGCCUUGAAAAAAAGCUUGUACAUGGAUAUUUUAUGUUUAAAACCUGCAACAUAAACAGAUACCCCAAAGAUGGAUACUGCAAACCACCUGGUCAAAUUUAAGUAAUUUUCACAUCCUUCUGGUCAGCUGGGGAUCAACAGAGCAUGAGUAUCCCUUAUCCUCCUUGCUUGCCUUGAAUCUGUGCCUGUGCUGAUGGGUUCACUUUCAGGUUGUCAGACCGAGUUUAGGAAAACAGCGUGUUACUUCCAUCUGCUGAGAAAUGCUGCCCACUGCCUCCCUGGCUGCACACAGCAGGCUCCCAGCUCAUGAACAGUGUGGACAUGCUGGCAUCCGUGUGGUGCAGGAGGUGCUCCCCAGGCUGCAUCUGACCCUACAGCAAUGGUGCACAAGGGCUGCAGUUUACUGUGAACACUGGCCUUGCAUGUGGGAGAAGCAAGUUCACUUUUGUCAGCUCUCCCUGCCUCCAGGAAUAGCCUAAUGUCAGAGUAAGUUUUGCUCUUCCUGAUUUUCAUUCUUAACAUGGCAAUUGUUGAUCUUGAAGCUGUCACCAUAUGAGUAAGCACAUAAAAUUCAGGACUCAUAGAUAAGCAAAAUGAAAUUUGUUUCUGUAGGCAGAGAUUACAGCAGUCCUUCGGGACUUGAGUUAAAGUCUUAUUUGAUUCUGCUUUGUUAAAGGCUGUGAAAAAUAAAAUAUAAAGAUAUUUAUAUCUCCCUCA
rnacentral:lncRNA from 1 species